UUUUGGUGAGGUGCCUUCCGAGUUCCCUGGAACGGGACGCCUAGAGGGUGAGAGCCCCGUCUGGUUGGACACCGAUCCUCUGUAAAGCUCCUUCGACGAGUCGAGUAGUUUGGGAAUGCUGCUCUAAAUGGGAGGUAUAUGUCUUCUAAAGCUAAAUACCGGCCAGAGACCGAUAGCGCACAAGUAGAGUGAUCGAAAGAUGAAAAGAACUUUGAAAAGAGAGUUAAACAGUACGUGAAAUUGUUGAAAGGGAAGCGCUUGUGACCAGACUUGGGCUUGGUUGAUCAUCCCGGGUUCUCCCCGGUGCACUCUUCCGGCUCAGGCCAGCAUCAUUUCGCCCUGGGGGAUAAAGGCUUCGGGAAUGUGGCUCUCUCCGGGGAGUGUUAUAGCCCGCUGCGUAAUACCCUGUGGCGGA
rnacentral:rRNA from 1 species